rnacentral:rRNA from 1 species
UACAGAAGGUGCAAGCGUUACUCGGAAUUACUGGGCGUAAAGCGUCUGUAGGUGUCCUGCCACGUCUGGCCUCAAAUCCCAAGGCUCAACCUUGGAUCUAGGCUGGAAACGAGCGGGAUCGAGUCAUUCAGAGGCAUCUGGAAUGUCGUGUGUAGGGGUAAAAUCCGUAGAUACACGAUGGAACGCCAAAAGCGAAGGCAGGAUGCUAGGAAUGCACUGACACUCAGAGACGAAAGCGUGGGGAGCAAAGGGG